rnacentral:rRNA from 1 species
CUACGGGAGGCAGCAGUGGGGAAUCUUGGACAAUGGGCGCAAGCCUGAUCCAGCCAUGCCGCGUGAGUGAUGAAGGCCUUAGGGUCGUAAAGCUCUUUCGCCAGGGAUGAUAAUGACAGUACCUGGUAAAGAAACCCCGGCUAACUCCGUGCCAGCAGCCGCGGUAAUACGGAGGGGGUUAGCGUUGUUCGGAAUUACUGGGCGUAAAGCGCACGUAGGCGGAUUGGAAAGUUGGGGGUGAAAUCCCGGGGCUCAACCCCGGAACUGCCUCCAAAACUCCCAGUCUAGAGUUCGAGAGAGGUGAGUGGAAUUCCGAGUGUAGAGGUGAAAUUCGUAGAUAUUCGGAGGAACACCAGUGGCGAAGGCGGCUCACUGGCUCGAUACUGACGCUGAGGUGCGAAAGUGUGGGGAGCAAACAGGAUUAGAUACCCUGGUAGUCCACACCGUAAACGAUGAAUGCCAGUCGUCGGC